rnacentral:siRNA from 1 species
GGAAUGUUAUGUGCCUUGAGC